rnacentral:rRNA from 1 species
CACGUAGUUAGCCGGUGCUUUUUCUGCAGGUACCGUCACUUUCGCUUCUUCCCUGCUAAAAGAGGUUUACAACCCGAAGGCCGUCGUCCCUCACGCGGCGUUGCUGCAUCAGGCUUUCGCCCAUUGUGCAAUAUUCCCCACUGCUGCCUCCCGUAGGAGUCUGGGCCGUGUCUUAGUCCCAGUGUGGCCGGUCACCCUCUCAGGCCGGCUACCCGUCGUCGCCUUGGUGAGCCAUUACCUCACCAACAAGCUGAUAGGCCGCGAGUCCAUCCUUGACCAAAAUUCUUUCCACAACCAGACGAUGCCGUCGGUUGUCAUAUCCGGUAUUAGACGCCGUUUCCAGCGCUUAUCCCAGAGUCAAGGGCAGGUUACUCACGUGUUACUCACCCGUUCGCCACUAAUCCACCCAGCAAGCUGGGCUUCAUCGUUCGACUUGCAUGUGUUAAGCACGCCGCCAGCGUUCGUCCUGAGCCAGGAUCAAACUCU